AUCAGCCAGUUUCUUCAUCAGUAUUCGACCCAAGUGAUCACCACCGAAGCCCAGAGAGAGAGAGAGAGAGAGAGAGAGAGAGAGAGAGAGAGAGAGAGACUGCGUUAG
rnacentral:sRNA from 1 species